rnacentral:rRNA from 1 species
UACGUAGGGUGCAAGCGUUGUCCGGAAUUAUUGGGCGUAAAGAGCCUGUAGGCGGUUUGUCGCGUCUGCUGUGAAAUUUCGGGGCUCAACCCCGAACUUGCAGUGGGUACGGGCAGACUAGAGUGUGGUAGGGGAGACUGGAAUUCCCGGUGUAGCGGUGAAAUGCGCAGAUAUCAGGAGGAACACCGAUGGCGAAGGCAGGUCUCUGGGCCAUAACUGACGCUGAGAAGCGAAAGCAUGGGGAGCGAACAGG